rnacentral:rRNA from 1 species
UACGAAGGGGGCUAGCGUUGCUCGGAAUCACUGGGCGUAAAGCGCACGUAGGCGGAUUCUUAAGUCAGGGGUGAAAUCCCGGAGCUCAACUCCGGAACUGCCUUUGAUACUGAGAAUCUUGAGUUCGAGAGAGGUGAGUGGAACUGCGAGUGUAGAGGUGAAAUUCGUAGAUAUUCGCAAGAACACCAGUGGCGAAGGCGGCUCACUGGCUCGAUACUGACGCUGAGGUGCGAAAGCGUGGGGAGCAAACGGG